GAUGCUUCUCAACAACAACUGUUAGAACCCCAUUUUCGCAUUUAGCAGUAAUGGCAGACACAUUGGCAUUUUCAGGUAACCGGAACUUCCUCAGCAGCUUCUGAGGUGCCCUCCUCUCAAGCCUUAUGUACUUGCAGCCUUCCUCCUCACCCUCUUCGCGUUUCCUCUUCCCUCCACUUUUAAUCACCAGCGUGUUCUGAUCUUCAACAGUCACCUGAAUAUCAGACUUGCACAAUCCAGGCACAUCCAUGUAGAAAAUGUACUCUUUAGGGCUGUCCAAGAUGUCCGUAGCAAUGUUACCCGCACCGUUGUUCUCGUUCGUAUCAUUUGAACGCGAAUGGAUCAUGAACUUCUCGAUGCUCUCAGGGAUAUUGAACAAAUGGCUCAUUGCAUCAAACAAAUUCGAGUCUGCUAUUCGGCUCAUCUUCUCAAAUUAUCAAUUAGCUCGACAACUCUAUAAAAGGAGUUAGUUCCUUGAAAAAAUUGAUGAAAAAACAAGAGAAAUUGCGAGAAAAUUCGUGCGCAGGAAGAUAACACAGGAGCUGUAGUUAAU
rnacentral:misc_RNA from 1 species